rnacentral:rRNA from 1 species
AUUGAACGCUGGCGGCAUGCCUUACACAUGCAAGUCGAACGGCAGCGGACCUUCGGGUGCCGGCGAGUGGCGAACGGGUGAGUAAUAUAUCGGAACGUACCUUUCAGUGGGGGAUAACGUAGCGAAAGUUACGCUAAUACCGCAUAUUCUGUGAGCAGGAAAGCAGGGGAUCGCAAGACCUUGCGCUGAUUGAGCGGCCGAUAUCAGAUUAGCUAGUUGGUGAGGUAAAGGCUCACCAAGGCGACGAUCUGUAGCGGGUCUGAGAGGAUGAUCCGCCACACUGGAACUGAGACACGGUCCAGACUCCUACGGGAGGCAGCAGUGGGGAAUUUUGGACAAUGGGCGCAAGCCUGAUCCAGCCAUGCCGCGUGAGUGAAGAAGACC